UUUUUUUUUUUUUUUUUUUUUUUUUUAGUCCAUUCAGCCACUGUAUGUCUUUUGAUUGGAGCAUUUAAUUCAUUUACACUCAAUUAAUGAUAGGUGAGAUUCCAGUGUUUCCUCCAGAAAGGCACAUUAUUCCUCCACCAUGGUCUUCUUUUUCCUGUGUACCUUGACCCUGUAGGAGAUGAGACUUCUAAAGUGAUUCCUUUCCCUCUUUUCUCCUCAUCACCCCUUCCCACUCUCUAAGGAAUCUUACCAGGACAUGCCCAAAUUGGUAUCAUUGCUCAUGGUAGGUCUCCUGGAUCCAGCCCCAAGUCUCAUCUUUCCUCUUAUUUGUCCACCAUUUUGCUUGAUCCAUAUGGUUUUCAGGUGCUGGUUCCAUGGCUCUUCCUGAGCCGAAAAUAAGGAAACUCCAUAGACCUUGUCCACUGGAACUCGUUCCCAUCUACCCUCCACUCUAUCCAGGGUGAUGGAUCUCUGCAGUAAGUGGAAGAGUUCUUCAUGGCCCCCAAGGUUAUAUCCAUCUAGAACUUCAGCACGUAAUUUCAUCUGGAAAUAGUGCCUUUGCGGAUAUAAGUUAGGUAAAACUGAAGAUGAGAUCAUACUGGAUUAGGAUGGGAUCUAAAUCCAAUGAAAAUGUCUUCAUAAAAAACAGGAAAGAACCCAUAGAAACACAAGGAAGAAGGUCAUGUGAAGAUGGAGGCAGAGAUUGGAGGGAUGCAGCCACCGGCCCAGGAAUGCCAGCAGCCACCCAGAAGCUGGAAGGAAAUGAGGGAUUCUCUCCUAGAACCUUUAGAGAGAACAUGGUCCUGUGAACAGCUUGAUUUUGGACUUGCCCAUAGCUUGUAUACUCUUACUUUGGAUACAAUUUUAUCCAAACUUGGCUAAACAGUUUCUCAGCCUAUGGAAAAUUUAAAAUGGAGAAGAUUCAACUCGAUUCUUACAGAUUCAAAGCAAGAAAAUGAUGGGAACAUAGGAGGAGACCAAGAAAGCCUAUAAAAAGCAAAAAUAUGAAGUGAACAUUGUGGUAGCUUUAAGAUGUUUAGUGUAGCUGCAGGCACCCUAUACACAUGAAAACCCCCAAGGGGAAUCCCCAUAUCACAGUGUAGUGUGAUAUUUGACAUUCGUGAUCAUCUAGAGAUGUACAGAAAAGGUGAAUCUGUGUUCUGUAUAUUCUGCCUAAGGCAAAGAAAUGUUUAGCUCUCUUUAAAAUAGUUCCAUAAUUUUUUCUAAAAAGCUUUGCUUGAAAACUGUAAGCUUCCCAUAUCUGGAGCAUUUCACUUUAAAUAUUUGGAUAAAUAUGUUAUCUUCUUACUUGGACAUUUCAUGUGUUUAGGGAUUGUCUUCUAAAUUCUUCCUAAUUCAUAUAGCUGCUAACACUUCCCGCAGAGCUAAACCAUUACAGAUAUGAAAUAAAGACCUAUUGAUUUGACUUACU
rnacentral:lncRNA from 1 species